UUGGCCUCUUUGCUCAGCUCAGCCCUGAGCAGGGCAGACGGAGCUCCGUGGCCGGCGCUGCUGGGUGGCUGGCGCCUGAAGUGGUGACAGGUCAACCAUGUGGCCCCAAAGUGGACAUAUGGUCUUUGGGAAUCGUGGGUAUCGAAAUGGUGGAACGAGAAGUUCCUUCCUGGAAUGCAACUCCUGUCUUGCCCCAACUCCUGAUAGCCACAGGAGGAAGACAAAAGCUGAAGCAGCCCAACCUAUUUUCAUCCUGCCUGCGUGACUUCCUGAGCUGCUGCCUGCAGAGAGACGAGGCGCGGCGCUGGUCUGCCAAGGAGCUCCUGCAGAAUACACCCUGUGGGAAGAGGGAUGGAAGUGUUUAUUAUGCUAAUAGCAAUGAGUAUGCUAAUAAUGAGGCAAGGGCGGAAUUGACAAUCAACCAUCUAGCUGGAGAAGGACAACACAGCC